rnacentral:tRNA from 1 species
UGGGCUAUAGCCAAGUGGUAAGGCAACGGACUUUGACUCCGUCAGCGCUGGUUCGAUCCCAGCUAGCCCAA